CUCCCUCCACAAGGGUUGGGCCACCGGCUUCAGGUGUUACCGACUUUCAUGACUUGACGGGCGGUGUGUACAAGACCCGGGAACGUAUUCACCGCAGCGUUGCUGAUCUGCGAUUACUAGCGACUCCGACUUCAUGAGGUCGAGUUGCAGACCUCAAUCCGAACUGGGACCGGCUUUUUGGGAUUCGCUCCACCUCACGGUAUUGCAGCCCUUUGUACCGGCCAUUGUAGCAUGCGUGAAGCCCAAGACAUAAGGGGCAUGAUGAUUUGACGUCAUCCCCACCUUCCUCCGAGUUGACCCCGGCAGUAUCCCAUGAGUUCCCACCAUUACGUGCUGGCAACAUAGAACGAGGGUUGCGCUCGUUGCGGGACUUAACCCAACAUCUCACGACACGAGCUGACGACAACCAUGCACCACCUGUUCACCAGUGUCCAAAGAGUCCCGUAUUUCUACGGUGUUCUGGUGUAUGUCAAGCCUUGGUAAGGUUCUUCGCGUUGCAUCGAAUUAAUCCGCAUGCUCCGCCGCUUGUGCGGGUCCCCGUCAAUUCCUUUGAGUUUUAGCCUUGCGGCCGUACUCCCCAGGCGGGGAACUUAAUGCGUUAGCUGCGUCACGGAAACCGUGGAAUGGUCCCCACAACUAGUUCCCAACGUUUACGGGGUGGACUACCAGGGUAUCUAAGCCUGUUUGCUCCCCACCCUUUCGCUCCUCAGCGUCAGUUACGGCCCAGAGAUCUGCCUUCGCCAUCGGUGUUCCUCCUGAUAUCUGCGCAUUCCACCGCUACACCAGGAAUUCCAAUCUCCCCUACCGCACUCUAGUCUGCCCGUACCCACUGCAGGCCCGAGGUUGAGCCUCGGGAUUUCACAGCAGACGCGACAAACCGCCUACGAGCUCUUUACGCCCAAUAAUUCCGGAUAACGCUUGCGCCCUACGUAUUACCGCGGCUGCUGGCACGUAGUUAGCCGGCGCUUUUUCUGCAGGUACCGUCACUCUCGCUUCUUCCCUGCUAAAAGAGGUUUACAACCCGAAGGCCGUCAUCCCUCACGCGGCGUUGCUGCAUCAGGCUUCCGCCCAUUGUGCAAUAUUCCCCACUGCUGCCUCCCGUAGGAGUCUGGGCCGUGUCUCAGUCCCAGUGUGGCCGGUCACCCUCUCAGGCCGGCUACCCGUCGACGCCUUGGUGAGCCAUUACCUCACCAACAAGCUGAUAGGCCGCGAGCCCAUCCCAGACCGAAAAAUCUUUCCAACCCCCACCAUGCGAUGAGAGCUCAUAUCCAGUAUUAGACGCCGUUUCCAGCGCUUAUCCCAGAGUCCAGGGCAGGUUGCUCACGUGUUACUCACCCGUUCGCCACUGAUCCACCAAGCAAGCUUGGCUUCACCGUUCGACUGCA
rnacentral:rRNA from 1 species